AUAUUGGACAAUGGGCGCAAGCCUGAUCCAGCCAUGCCGCGUGAGUGAUGAAGGCCUUCGGGUUGUAAAGCUCUUUUGGCGGGGACGAUGAUGACGGUACCCGCAGAGUAAGCCCCGGCAAACUUCGUGCCAGCAGCCGCGGUAAGACGAAGGGGGCAAGCGUUGUUCGGAAUUACUGGGCGUAAAGGGCGCGUAGGCGGCUCUUUUAGUCAGGCGUGAAAGCCCUGGGCUCAACCUGGGAAUUGCGCUUGAUACUGGAGGGCUAGAGAGUGGGAGAGGUUGGUGGAAUUCCCAGUGUAGAGGUGAAAUUCGUAGAUAUUGGGAAGAACACCGGUGGCGAAGGCGGCCAACUGGACCAUUUCUGACGCUGAGGCGCGAAGGCGUGGGGAGCAAAC
rnacentral:rRNA from 1 species